GACGAACGCUGGCGGCGUGCCUAAUACAUGCAAGUAGAACGCUUAAGGAGGAGCUUGCUCUUCUGGACGAUUUGCGAACGGGUGAGUAACGCGUAGGUAACCUGCCUGGUAGCGGGGGAUAACUAUUGGAAACGAUAGCUAAUACCGCAUAACAUUAGAUGUUGCAUGACAUUUGCUUAAAAGGUGCAAUUGCACCACUACCAGAUGGACCUGCGUUGUAUUAGCUAGUUGGUGGGGUAACGGCUCACCAAGGCGACGAUACAUAGCCGACCUGAGAGGGUGCUCGGCCACACUGGGAAUGAGACAAGGCCCAGAAUCCUACGGGAGGGAGCAGGAGGGAAUUUUCGGCAGUGGAAGGAAGUCUGACCGAGCCACGGCGCGUGAGUGAAGAAGGUUCUCGGAUCGUAAAGCUCUGUUGUAAGAGAAGAACGAGUGUGAGAGUGGAAAGUUCACACUGUGACGGUAUCUUACCAGAAAGGGACGGCUAACUACGUG
rnacentral:rRNA from 1 species